GGAAUGGGUGGGUUGCCUUUUGGUGGUCAGCCCCUGGGAAUGGAUGCAGAGAAAUCAAACGCCAAGUACGGCAUUGGUGGGCUGCAGUUUGGUGGACAACCCCUCAACACAGGGACUACUGGCACAGGCCAUUAUGGAUAUGGUGGAAGCCCCUAUGGGCCUGCUUCUGGCAAAUCGUCUGGAAAAUAUGGUG